UACGGAGGGAGCUAGCGUUGUUCGGAAUUACUGGGCGUAAAGCGCGCGUAGGCGGCUUUGUAAGUUAGAGGUGAAAGCCCGGGGCUCAACCCCGGAAUUGCCUUUAAGACUGCAUCGCUUGAAUCCGGGAGAGGUGAGUGGAAUUCCGAGUGUAGAGGUGAAAUUCGUAGAUAUUCGCAAGAACACCAGUGGCGAAGGCGGCUCACUGGCCCGAUACUGACGCUGAGGCACGAAAGCGUGGGGAGCAAACAGGG
rnacentral:rRNA from 1 species